rnacentral:misc_RNA from 1 species
UUCAAGACGACUAAUAUUUUGUAAUUAUUAAAAUUUAUAUUGAAAAUGGUUAAACAUUCGUUUCUCUUUGUGAUCCUUGGAUUAAUUUGAACACGGGGAAGUAUCUAGAAGUAAUAAAUGAAGCCAUUAAAAGCGUUUACGAAAGCUACGGAAAUACAAUUUUGUAACUGAUUUCAAAAUCUCGGAUCGCUGUGCCCUAGAGCAGACGUGUCCUGAAGAGGAUAUCACGUGUUUGCAAACGCGAUGUGGGACGCCCUUCGUCCCACUGGACUGACGAUCUACGUAAAGUCGUCAGCGGAGGCUGGAUGAGGAUUGCGGAGGCCUAUAUCUGACAGUCUAUUGUUAUAGACAGAAGCGAUUUUCAUUAAUGUUCAUCUUCAGAGCUUUGCUAAUAUUGUAAGCUACCUAUAUGUGUUAUCUUGUUAUUUAUUUUUCAUUUCUUUAUGCCUAUUUAUUAUUGCUUUCAAUAACUAUCAAUACAAUUAAAAUAUAAUAAGAAAAUUAAGUAAUAAGGAAGUAUAAGGUUAUAAUGUCUAAAUAAGAAAAUUAUUUUAUAUGUUAAAUGAAUAGUACUCGUAAGUCCCGGGAUACGUCUGAAAUACA